UUUCCGUAGGUGAACCUGCGGAAGGAUCAUUCAUAAUAAGUGUUUUAUGGCACUUUUUUAAAUCCAUAUCCACCUUGUGUGCAAUGUCAGGGUUGAUUUUUCUCUCGAGAGGAUCAGCCCCAAACAUCAACUAUUAUCUCAACUCUUUGUCUGAAAUAUAUUAUGAAUAAAACAAUUCAAAAUACAACUUUCAACAACGGAUCUCUUGGCUCUC
rnacentral:misc_RNA from 1 species